AAUUGUCAGUGGUGCUCUGUCAUCUGUUUGUUUUGGAUUCCACGAGUUCAGGAUGUCGAAAAUCUUGUUGAACUUCCGGCAGUAUUCCUCAGUGGCCUCACUUCCCGCAAACUGCAAAAAAACACCAUAUUAAAAAGAUCCUCCCGUAAAUGGCGAAGAGUAUCCGCAGUUGAAUUACUCAAAACUUGAGCAGCCAGAACUACUUUCAUCUUGUGUGUGCCAAUGUCGACGUGGUUUUUAGUCAACUUGUUACCAAGACGAAAUCCUAAACGGUUCUGGUAUUCGAAGAGCUCGGUUAUGUACGACCAUUUUGCCGGUUUCGGAAAGCCAGGAUGAAGGAAAAAAGUUUUCAUCGCAGCGUAUUUUAUACGGUGGAUUUUCAUUUGCUCUGAAGUUUUAUUUGUGCGCCGGCUAGGAACAGAUUUCGGUGGUUUUUGGGG